GGGGGGGGGGGCGGGGGGGGUGCUUACACAUGCAAGUCGAGCGGUAAGGCCUUUCGGGGUACACGAGCGGCGAACGGGUGAGUAACACGUGGGUGAUCUGCCCUGCACUUCGGGAUAAGCCUGGGAAACUGGGUCUAAUACCGGAUAUGACCUCCUAUCGCAUGGUGGGUGGUGGAAAGAUUUAUCGGUGCAGGAUGGGCCCGCGGCCUAUCAGCUUGUUGGUGGGGUAAUGGCCUACCAAGGCGACGACGGGUAGCCGACCUGAGAGGGUGACCGGCCACACUGGGACUGAGACACGGCCCAGACUCCUACGGGAGGCAGCAGUGGGGAAUAUUGCACAAUGGGCGAAAGCCUGAUGCAGCGACGCCGCGUGAGGGACGACGGCCUUCGGGUUGUAAACCUCUUUCAGCAGGGACGAAGCGCAAGUGACGGUACCUGCAGAAGAAGCACCGGCUAACUACGUGCCAGCAGCCGCGGUAAUACGUAGGGUGCAAGCGUUGUCCGGAAUUACUGGGCGUAAAGAGUUCGUAGGCGGUUUGUCACGUCGUUUGUGAAAACUCACAGCUCAACUGUGAGCCUGCAGGCGAUACGGGCAGACUUGAGUACUGCGAGGGAGACUGGAAUUCCUGGUGUAGCGGUGAAAUGCGCAGAUAUCAGGAGGAACACCGGUGGCGAAGGCGGGUCUCUGGGCAGUAACUGACGCUGAGGAACGAAAAGCGUGGGUAGCGAACAGGAUUAGAUACCCUGGUAGUCCACGCCGUAAACGGUGGGCGCUAAGUGUGGGUUCCUUCCACGGAAUCCGUGCCGUAGCUAACGCAUUAAGCGCCCCGCCUGGGGAGUACGGCCGCAAGGCUAAAACUCACAGGAAUUGGACAGGAGGCCCGCACAAGCAGCGGAGCAUGAGGAUUAAAUGCGAUGCAACGCUGAGAUCCUUACCUGGGUGUGACAUAUACCCGGAAGCCGUAGCAGAUACGGCCCCCAUUGUGGUCGGUAUACAGGUGGAUGCAUGGCUGUCGUCAGCUCGUGUCAUGAGAUGUGGGUUAGGUCCCGCAACGAAGCGCAACCCCUAUCUUAUAGUGGCCAGCACGUAAUG
rnacentral:rRNA from 1 species